UUUCCUUGUGGGUGUGAAUUUCACAGUCUGAAGUUGGGUACGCAACACAAGUCAGCAGAUAACCUUCCUCCAUUUGUUUAUCGUCAAGGAAAGAACCAUCAGAUUGAUCCACAGAACCUGAAAUCAUCUUCCCGGCACAUGUGCAGCAAGCUCCAGCUCUGCAAGAAUAUGGUAGCUCAACCCCUGCUUCCUCAGCUGCAUCUAGAAUGUACUUAUCAUCAGGGGACUCAAACUCGUUCACCUCACCUUUUGGUCCUACAAGCUUAAUCUUGUAAGUUGCCAUUGAGG
rnacentral:lncRNA from 1 species